UUAUUGUAAUGUAAUUAUAAAAUUGUAACAUGUUGUAAUUUAUAGUUAAGCUUGUGUAAGCCCUCUGUACAAUCAUACAUUUUCAAUCAACUUUGCUGGAUUGUCCUUUUUUCUCCACAAAGACCUUGAGCAUGCAAAAACAUUCAUCAUGGACGAAUGACUCCCAAGCAGACUCAAGGCACGCCACCCCUACAACAUGGCAGCACAAGAGAUGCUCAAUUCCAUCCCUGAAGACAUCUCCAGAGAUGCCUGGCUGGCAGCAGCUUGGAAGCAGGAGUGGGAGGCAGCUGGCCCCUCCCUCAUGCACAGUUAUGUCUGGGAACCAGGAGACGGCGCCAUAGGAGGAGACGAACUACCUCGCCAGCAGUGGACCACACUGAACCGCUUAAGAACUGGUGUUGGGCGCUUCAACAUGUCUAGUGGGGUCUGGCGGACAGUGCGGCAUGCGAGUGCGGAGCCCUCGAGCAGACAGCCGACCACACCAUCAACACCUACACCAACAUAUAGACCACCCUCAGAGGCCGGCCUCUUCGACCUGGGACCAGAGAUGCUGGCGUGGCUCCACGACACCAAGUUGGAGCGCUGACGUUACACGAGAGAGAGAGAGAGAGAGAGAGAGAGAGAGAGAGAGAGCGAGAGAGAGAGAGAGAGAGCGAGAGAGAGAGAGAGAGAGAGAGAGAGAGAGAGAGAGAGAGACUCCCAAACCAGGGUGGCAAGAAGCAGGACUUCUCAUUCCUCUCACAGGGAGAGCCAAGACUUUCCAAAAGACCUGUACAACGGAGGCCAGCAUCAUGAAACACAAACUCCCAAACCAGCAUGGUAACAUGAAACACAAACUCCCAAACCAGCAUGGUAACACACAGGACUUCUUCUGAUUCUUCUUAUGUUCUUGGGUCUUGCCUGUGGUUCUACACGCAUCCAGAAAUGCAGACAAAGAACAGCUUGGCCUUUAACAGUCGGAAGCCUCUGAUUUUACUCUACUAAGCCUCAGAUACAGUCUGUUUUCUGUUCUCAUUCAGUCAUUC